UCCCCGGUGGCUCAGAUGGUAAAGAAUCUGCCUGCAAUGCAGGAGACCCAGGUUCGAUCCCUGGGUCGGGAA
rnacentral:tRNA from 1 species